GACGAACGCUGGCGGCGUGCUUAACACAUGCAAGUCGAACGAUGAAGCCGGAGCUUGCUCUGGUGAAUUAGUGGCGAACGGGUGAGUAACACGUGAGUAACCUGCCCUUGACUCUGGGAUAACUGCUAGAAAUGGUAGCUAAUACCGGAUACGACCCUCGGAGGCAUCUCCAGGGGGUGGAAAGAAUUUCGGUCAAGGAUGGACUCGCGGCCUAUCAGCUAGUUGGUGAGGUAACGGCUCACCAAGGCGACGACGGGUAGCCGGACUGAGAGGUGGACCGGCCACACUGGGACUGAGACACGGCCCAGACUCCGACGGGAGGCAGCAGUGGGGAUUAUUGCACAGUGGGCGCAAGCCUGAUGCAGCAACGCCGCGUGAGGGAUGACGGCCUUCGGGUUGUAAACCUCUUUUAGUAGGGAAGAAGCGAAAGUGACGGUACCUGCAGAAAAAGCACCGGCUAACUACGUGCCAGCAGCCGCCGUAA
rnacentral:rRNA from 1 species